UACAGAGGGUGCAAGCGUUAAUCGGAUUUACUGGGCGUAAAGCGCGCGUAGGUGGCCAAUUAAGUCAAAUGUGAAAUCCCCGAGCUUAACUUGGGAAUUGCAUUCGAUACUGGUUGGCUAGAGUAUGGGAGAGGAUGGUAGAAUUCCAGGUGUAGCGGUGAAAUGCGUAGAGAUCUGGAGGAAUACCGAUGGCGAAGGCAGCCAUCUGGCCUAAUACUGACAC
rnacentral:rRNA from 1 species